rnacentral:rRNA from 1 species
AGAGUUUGAUCCUGGCUCAGAAUCAACGCUGGCGGCGUGCCUAACACAUGCAAGUCGAACGAGAAAGGGGCUUCGGCCCUGAGUACAGUGGCGCACGGGUGAGUAGCACGUGACUAACCUACCCUCGAGCGGGGAAUAACUAAGGGAAACCUUAGCUAAUACCGCAUAAUACCUACGGGUCAAAGGAGUAAUCCACUUGAGGAGGGGGUCGCGGCCGAUUAGUUAGUUGGCGGGGUAAUGGCCCACCAAGACAGUGAUCGGUAUCCGGCCUGAGAGGGCGCACGGACACACUGGAACUGAAACACGGUCCAGACUCCUACGGGAGGCAGCAGUGGGGAAUUUUGCGCAAUGGGGGAAACCCUGACGCAGCAACGCCGCGUGGAGGAUGAAGUCUCUUGGGACGUAAACUCCUUUCGAUCGGGACGAUUAUGACGGUACCGGAAGAAGAAGCCCCGGCUAACUUCGUGCCAGCCGCCGCGGU